ensembl:lncRNA
UUUAUAAAAAUUAUUAUUUAUUUUUUUUCAUUCUGACCCCACGUCAGCACAAUUUGACGUUCCAAACACAAUGCACAAACUCAGCGAAAGAGGCACCAACAGAACGAUCAAGAUGAAGCGGCAGCAAUUUAGCGGUAAUGCAAAACGACAGUUGAAAAAAAGAUAAAGAGUGUAGAAAUGCGGCCACUUUUUAAAAAAAUGCGCUUGCAAAGGUUUGAACAGUGUUUUUCAGAAGGCAAAGUGUGUGUGUGCUGUCUGCUCCCAAUGGUUCUGAAAUGAUAGUUCGUUAGUAGACUCACUGCGCUUGCAAAGGUUUGAACAGUGUACGUGGGUGUCACUAAAUGCAUAACCUCGCCGAUGUUUUUGAUAGCCGUCAUCACUUCUUGUUAGCUAUUUAAGUUUUGGAAAGCUUUGUGAACUGCAAUGCUUAUUUGCGGUGCUGUGAGUUGGUUUAAUGAUAACUGAAUCCAACUAACGUUGGAUUGCUUUUUGUAAUGUCAGAUUUCAUAGUUUGGUGUGCUAUAAUUACAAUGAUAACUAUAAGAAAGUGGUUAUUGUUAAGAAAGUGCUAUUAAUGUCGCCAUAUAGGCUGGUUGAAAGACGUAGGCUACUUGGAAGGCUUCUGACUUGUUUUUGGGCGAGUUCGAUUAAAUAAAUAAAGCUUGAUUUGUUUUGUACAUGUGCCCAUGUUCUCCAUUUCUGUGUAGAUUAUAGCAGAUUUAAGUCUGUACAUCCUACUUAAGUACCAAAAGUAAAAGUAUAAACUUUCUUAUUCUUUUGGACGAAUAAUAUACCUGUUGAAAUCAAGGUCAACAAAAGAUAAAACAAUAGUUCUGCACUGUAUUAAGUUAUGAUUUCUAAUAACAUAAAUUCACAUUAAACAUAAUUUACAGCAUAUGCAUUAAUUACUUUGGCAAGUUUGCUGUGAUAUAAGCGGGAUAAUGCACUGGGAGCAAGUCAGUUAUGGAAAAUAACCGCACUUCAGGGGGGUAAACGGUAGC